rnacentral:lncRNA from 1 species
CCAGUGGCUAACACGUAAUUACAGUCUCAAGCUUGCUUUGAGAAUAGUGCUGGGCUUUCUUUGUGUCUGGUCUUCUCAACAGCUGUGUCAUCAGGCUGGCAUGCCUACUCACUGUUUCAAACACUUCAAGAAAAUAAAAUGGAUAUCUAGUAAAAGAAAAGAACAUGUUUCCAUGCCCUUGUAAGGAGGAGGACUGGUCUCCAUUUGCUCUUCAAGAAGAAAAUACUUAUGAAGCCAACACAGCUAUGGGCCCCACUCACUCCAGUUCUGUUGUGAGUGUCCCUCUAGCCAGUUCAAGCUUAGCGCACAUGAAGUGUAUGUCCUGGGAAGACGCUGGAACACUUACUCUUAAGUGAGUGUUUUCACCAACACUGACCAGGUGCUGAUGGGCGGGGGUUUAUCUUCAAAUUUUUUCAAGUUUUUUACUAUGUAACAAAUCCUCUUUGUGCCCCUCCUGCUAAAGAGAUUGCUCUGCAAAAAAAUGAUCUCUGUUGUUUUCUAAGAGACAGAAAGGGUGUGGGUCUCUGACGGGAGAGAAGAGAGAAGAGAAAUGAGAAAGGGGGACAGGGAACAGAUGGAGGAAGAGAAGUUUCAUAAGAAGGAAGGAAGCAGGAGGUAGGAAGAACAAAGCCCCUUGGAGACUUCCUACAGAAGAUGAAGCCAGAUUGAGAGAAGUCAGUGGUUUCUACCAAGAAGAACGAAUGUGUGUGGGUUUGCAAAAGUAAAUACGAUCAGGUUUUGACACAUGACCUUGUCUUCUCAUAAAAGUUGAAAAAAAGAUUCGGGGAUUUUCUUACCCUUUAAAAAUAUUUACAAGUGCCAGUGGCUCAUGGAAGAGCAGUUAUUAAAUUGAUUUUGUAAACACGAAACAAAGAAUAAAGCUUCCAUCC